GCGAAUCUUUGACUUCCGACUCUGCUUCCGAGGUGGGCGGGAGAAGAUGGCGUCGGCCUACUGGUGGCUGGGCCUGCUGGUGGUUCUCUGCGCCUGCUUGGCGGCUGCGGAGGAGCCGAAGAAGAGCUCCAACAAGCCGGGGAAGAAGAAGAAAGACAUUCGGGACUACAACGAUGCCGACAUGGCGCGGCUGUUGGAGCAAUGGGAGGAGGAUGAUGAUAUAGAGGAAGGAGAUCUUCCUGAGCACAAGCGCCAGUCUGCACCAAUCGACUUCUCCAAGAUCGAUCCAGGCAAGCCUGAGAGCCUCUUGAAAAUGACCAAAAAGGGGAAAACUCUCAUGAUGUUCGUCACUGUGUCCGGAGAGCCAACGGAGAAGGAGACGGAGGAAGUUACAAACCUGUGGCAAGGAAGCCUUUUCAAUGCCAAUUACGAUGUACAGAGGUUCAUUGUCGGUUCAAACCGUGCCAUUUUUAUGCUGCGUGACGGAAGCUACGCGUGGGAGGUCAAAGACUUUCUGGUAAAUCAAGAGAGAUGUGAAGAUGUCACUUUGGAAGGUCAAGUCUACCCUGGUAAAGGAGGCGGAGGAAAAGAAAAAAAUAAACUGAAGUCUGAAAAACCCUCCAAGAAAAAAGACACAGGUGUGAAACCUGGAACCGUUAAGGACAGCAACCGUGCAAGUAGAGGAAAAGAGGAUCUUUGAUAAAUGCCCUGAAAUACUGUCAAAGAGGUUUAGAACAUUUCAGAAAGAGAAAAUGGGGUUGGUUUUGCAAGUUUCAAAGUAUUAAUGGUUAAGGAAGCAGUUUACUUAUUAAUGAGAGGCAUUCCUUUAGAAAUGGCAGUCGGUUAAUGGCUGUGGGCUGCUUACAUUCAAUCAACUAUUAAGUCUCAGCUCCCUAUCAUUUAGUAUUAUGGACUUUGUCCAGAAGGGUGGUUGAGAGGGUCACCAUUUGGAGACCUGAUUCUGACAGGUGGUAUCACAGAUGGAUCAAAAGAAUAGGGAGAAGGAAAAACAAGACUUAGAAGGCAGCUGGUUUUUCCCCCAAUAUUUUGAUUAAUCCAAAUUAACAAUACACUUUCAUUGCAUUUUAAAUUCGUAGCUUGAGAUUUGUCACUGAUUAUAUACAAAAACAGAUCCAGAGUGACAGUUUCUAUGUUUAUUUGCUUUUAAAAUCCUGAUAAUCCAGUAUUCCACACUGAAAUGAAAAUAAAACUUUCUGUUAAUUAGCUAAUAAGGCUAGGGGAUUGCCACACUAAAUCAGAUCAAUGUACCUCUCAUUCAUUGAUUGAAGUAAUAUAAAAUGUGAGGAAUGCUCACAGAUGCAGCUCGAUUGUAAAAACAAAAGUGUGUGGGAAUGUAUGAUUUUUCUGUGGAUAAACAUAUCCAUGCAAUGGAUAUAUUUUACAGGUUACGUUGAUUUUUUUAAAAUGUUAAUUGGAAAAGUUCAGUUCAAGUUUGCGGCCAUUGUAUUGGAUUUUAUUUGCUGUUACUGUUUUAUAUUCAGUGCCAUGGAAAAUGUGCAAUACUUGGAACAGCCAUGGCAGUUUAUUCUUUGGGGUAAAAAAGAGGUAACCAAGGACAAGUUGCUGUCUGUGUGAAUGCUCCCUCCAAAACUUCAAUAAAUUUCUAUAAUUUUUUCAGAAGA